rnacentral:rRNA from 1 species
GGGUUGUGAGGUUAAGCGACUAAGCGUACACGGUGGAUGCCCUGGCAGUCAGAGGCGAUGAAGGACGUGCUAAUCUGCGAUAAGCGUCGGUAAGGUGAUAUGAACCGUUAUAACCGGCGAUUUCCGAAUGGGGAAACCCAGUGUGAUUCGUCACACUAUCAUUAACUGAAUCCAUAGGUUAAUGAGGCGAACCGGGGGAACUGAAACAUCUAAGUACCCCGAGGAAAAGAAAUCAACCGAGAUUCCCCCAGUAGCGGCGAGCGAACGGGGAGCAGCCCAGAGCCUGAAUCAGUGUGUGUGUUAGUGGAAGCGUCUGGAAAGGCGCGCGAUACAGGGUGACAGCCCCGUACACAAAAAUGCACAUGCUGUGAGCUCGAUGAGUAGGGCGGGACACGUGGUAUCCUGUCUGAAUAUGGGGGGACCAUCCUCCAAGGCUAAAUACUCCUGACUGACCGAUAGUGAACCAGUACCGUGAGGGAAAGGCGAAAAGAACCCCGGCGAGGGGAGUGAAAAAGAACCUGAAACCGUGUACGUACAAGCAGUGGGAGCCUCUUUAUGGGGUGACUGCGUACCUUUUGUAUAAUGGGUCAGCGACUUAUAUUCUGUAGCAAGGUUAACCGAAUAGGGGAGCCGAAGGGAAACCGAGUCUUAACUGGGCGUUAAGUUGCAGGGUAUAGACCCGAAACCCGGUGAUCUAGCCAUGGGCAGGUUGAAGGUUGGGUAACACUAACUGGAGGACCGAACCGACUAAUGUUGAAAAAUUAGCGGAUGACUUGUGGCUGGGGGUGAAAGGCCAAUCAAACCGGGAGAUAGCUGGUUCUCCCCGAAAGCUAUUUAGGUAGCGCCUCGUGAAUUCAUCUCCGGGGGUAGAGCACUGUUUCGGCAAGGGGGUCAUCCCGACUUACCAACCCGAUGCAAACUGCGAAUACCGGAGAAUGUUAUCACGGGAGACACACGGCGGGUGCUAACGUCCGUCGUGAAGAGGGAAACAACCCAGACCGCCAGCUAAGGUCCCAAAGUCAUGGUUAAGUGGGAAACGAUGUGGGAAGGCCCAGACAGCCAGGAUGUUGGCUUAGAAGCAGCCAUCAUUUAAAGAAAGCGUAAUAGCUCACUGGUCGAGUCGGCCUGCGCGGAAGAUGUAACGGGGCUAAACCAUGCACCGAAGCUGCGGCAGCGACACUAUGUGUUGUUGGGUAGGGGAGCGUUCUGUAAGCCUGCGAAGGUGUACUGUGAGGUAUGCUGGAGGUAUCAGAAGUGCGAAUGCUGACAUAAGUAACGAUAAAGCGGGUGAAAAGCCCGCUCGCCGGAAGACCAAGGGUUCCUGUCCAACGUUAAUCGGGGCAGGGUGAGUCGACCCCUAAGGCGAGGCCGAAAGGCGUAGUCGAUGGGAAACAGGUUAAUAUUCCUGUACUUGGUGUUACUGCGAAGGGGGGACGGAGAAGGCUAUGUUGGCCGGGCGACGGUUGUCCCGGUUUAAGCGUGUAGGCUGNNUGGAGCUGAAAUCAGUCGAAGAUACCAGCUGGCUGCAACUGUUUAUUAAAAACACAGCACUGUGCAAACACGAAAGUGGACGUAUACGGUGUGACGCCUGCCCGGUGCCGGAAGGUUAAUUGAUGGGGUUAGCGGUAACGCGAAGCUCUUGAUCGAAGCCCCGGUAAACGGCGGCCGUAACUAUAACGGUCCUAAGGUAGCGAAAUUCCUUGUCGGGUAAGUUCCGACCUGCACGAAUGGCGUAAUGAUGGCCAGGCUGUCUCCACCCGAGACUCAGUGAAAUUGAACUCGCUGUGAAGAUGCAGUGUACCCGCGGCAAGACGGAAAGACCCCGUGAACCUUUACUAUAGCUUGACACUGAACAUUGAGCCUUGAUGUGUAGGAUAGGUGGGAGGCUUUGAAGUGUGGACGCCAGUCUGCAUGGAGCCGACCUUGAAAUACCACCCUUUAAUGUUUGAUGUUCUAACGUUGGCCCCUAAUCGGGGUUGCGGACAGUGUCUGGUGGGUAGUUUGACUGGGGCGGUCUCCUCCUAAAGAGUAACGGAGGAGCACGAAGGUUGGCUAAUCCUGGUCGGACAUCAGGAGGUUAGUGCAAUGGCAUAAGCCAGCUUGACUGCGAGCGUGACGGCGCGAGCAGGUGCGAAAGCAGGUCAUAGUGAUCCGGUGGUUCUGAAUGGAAGGGCCAUCGCUCAACGGAUAAAAGGUACUCCGGGGAUAACAGGCUGAUACCGCCCAAGAGUUCAUAUCGACGGCGGUGUUUGGCACCUCGAUGUCGGCUCAUCACAUCCUGGGGCUGAAGUAGGUCCCAAGGGUAUGGCUGUUCGCCAUUUAAAGUGGUACGCGAGCUGGGUUUAGAACGUCGUGAGACAGUUCGGUCCCUAUCUGCCGUGGGCGCUGGAGAACUGAGGGGGGCUGCUCCUAGUACGAGAGGACCGGAGUGGACGCAUCACUGGUGUUCGGGUUGUCAUGCCAAUGGCACUGCCCGGUAGCUAAAUGCGGAAGAGAUAAGUGCUGAAAGCAUCUAAGCACGAAACUUGCCCCGAGAUGAGUUCUCCCUGACUCCCUGAGAGUCCUGAAGGAACGUUGAAGACGACGACGUUGAUAGGCCGGGUGUGUAAGCGCAGCGAUGCGUUGAGCUAACCGGUACUAAUGAACCGUGAGGCUUAACCUUACAACGCCGAAG